rnacentral:rRNA from 1 species
GACGAACGCUGGCGGCGUGCCUAAUACAUGCAAGUCGAGCGCAGGAAACUGACGGAACUCUUCGGAGGGAAGGCAGUGGAAUGAGCGGCGGACGGGUGAGUAACACGUAAGGAACCUGCCUCAAGGAUUGGGAUAACUCCGAGAAAUCGGAGCUAAUACCGGAUAGUUCAACGGACCGCAUGGUCCGCUGAUGAAAGGCGCUUCGGCGUCAUCCUGGGAGGGCCCUGCGGUGCAUUAGCUAGGUGGGAGGGUAACGGCCCACCAAGGCGACGAUGCAUAGCCGACCUGAGAGCGUGAUCGGCCACACUGGGACUGAGACACGGCCCAGACUCCUACGGGAGGCAGCAGUAGGGAAUCUUCCACAAUGGACGAAAGUCUGAUGGAGCAACGCCGCGUGAGUGAUGAAGGUUUUCGGAUCGUAAAACUCUGUUGUAAGGGAAGAACACGUACGAGAGGAAAUGCUCGUACCUUGACGGUACCUUACGAGAAAGCCACGGCUAACUACGUGCCAGCCGCCGCGGUAA